GUGGCGCACGGGUGAGUAACACGUAGGUAAUUUGCCUUCGGGUGGGGAAUAACUCAGGGAAACUUGAGCUAAUACCGCAUAAUGCAGCGGCUCGACAUCGAGACAGUUGUUAAAGCGGGGGAUCGCAAGACCUCGCGCCUGAAGAGAAGCCUGCGGCAGAUUAGCUAGUUGGUAGGGUAAUGGCCUACCAAGGCGACGAUCUGUAACCGGCCUGAGAGGGCGGUCGGUCACACUGACACUGACAUACGGGUCAGACUCCUACGGGAGGCAGCAGUCGGGAAUUUUGGGCAAUGGGCGAAAGCCUGACCCAGCAACGCCGCGUGAAGGAUGAAAUCCCUCGGGAUGUAAACUUCGCAAGAAUGGGAAGAAUAAGUGGGGGACAAUACCCCCCAUGAUGACGGUACCAUUUGUAAGCUCCGGCUAACUCCGUGCCAGCAGCCGCGGUAAUACGGGGGGAGCAAGCGUUGUUCGGAUUUACUGGGCGUAAAGGGCGCGUAGGCGGUCGUGACAAGUCACUUGUGAAAUCUCCGGGCUUAACUCGGAACGGUCAAGUGAUACUGUCGGACUAGAGUACAGAAGGGGCAACUGGAAUUCUCGGUGUAGCGGUGAAAUGCGUAGAUAUCGAGAGGAACACCUGCGGCGAAGGCGGGUUGCUGGGCUGAUACUGACGCUGAGGCGCGAAAG
rnacentral:rRNA from 1 species